CCUACGGGCGUCAGCAGUGGGGAAUAUUGGACAAUGGGGGCAACCCUGAUCCAGCCAUGCCGCGUGUGUGAAGAAGGCCCUCGGGUUGUAAAGCACUUUCAGUGAGGAAGAACGCCUGGUGGUUAAUACCCAUCAGGAAAGACAUCACUCACAGAAGAAGCACCGGCUAACUCCGUGCCAGCAGCCGCGGUAAUACGGAGGGUGCGAGCGUUAAUCGGAAUUACUGGGCGUAAAGCGCGCGUAGGUGGCUUGAUAAGCCGGUUGUGAAAGCCCCGGGCUCAACCUGGGAACGGCAUCCGGAACUGUCAAGCUAGAGUGCAGGAGAGGAAGGUAGAAUUCCCGGUGUAGCGGUGAAAUGCGUAGAGAUCGGGAGGAAUACCAGUGGCGAAGGCGGCCUUCUGGACUGACACUGACACUGAGGUGCGAAAGCGUGGGUAGCAAACAGGAUUAGAUACCCCAGUAGUC
rnacentral:rRNA from 1 species